rnacentral:rRNA from 1 species
AUACGGAGGGUGCAAGCGUUAAUCGGAAUUACUGGGCGUAAAGCGCGCGUAGGCGGAUAUUUAAGUCUCAUGUGAAAGCCCUGGGCUCAACCUGGGUACUGCAUGGGAUACUGGGUAUCUAGAAUACAGUAGAGGGUAGUGGAAUUUCAGGUGUAGCGGUGAAAUGCGUAGAGAUCUGAAGGAACAUCAGUGGCGAAGGCGACUACCUGGACUGAUAUUGACGCUGAGGUGCGAAAGCGUGGGGAGCAAACGGGAUUAGAAACCCCAGUAGUCC